GAAAAGCAUGUCGGAGGUUCGGCUCCGUUAAAAACGAAAACAAAAUUUAAAUGCUAACAAUAGCAAAAAUUACAGCGCUCCCGUAGCGCUCGCAGCUUAAUCUAAAAUUUAAGCUCCGUUCCGGCGGAAAAUGCCCACGUUUUUUGCAGGAACGUCAUCAUCAGUGGGGUAUCGCCGUCGUUGCAUCGUCUUCGGCAGCUGCGGCGGGAAUCAGGAAGACAUGGCGCGGCGCGUUCGUCUGCGGAAACGCCGCCCCGAGAUUAAACGCCGACUAAACAUGUAGAAAGCUUUUCUUACGGCGGUAAGACCGCGGUUCAAUUCCGCGCUGGUCCACCA
rnacentral:tmRNA from 2 species